rnacentral:rRNA from 1 species
AACGAACGCUGGCGGCAUGCCUAACACAUGCAAGUCGAACGAAGCCUUCGGGCCUUAGUGGCGCACGGGUGCGUAACGCGUGGGAAUCUGCCCUUGGGUUCGGAAUAACAGUUAGAAAUGACUGCUAAUACCGGAUGAUGACGAAAGUCCAAAGAUUUAUCGCCCAAGGAUGAGCCCGCGUAGGAUUAGGUAGUUGGUGGGGUAAAAGGCCCUACCAAGCCGACGAUCCUUAGCUGGUCUGAGAGGAUGAUCAGCCACACUGGGACUGAGACACGGCCCAGACUCCUACGGGAGGCAGCAGUGGGGAAUAUUGGGACAAUGGGGGCAACCCUGAUCCAGCAAUGCCGCGUGAGUGAUGAAGGCCUUAAGGGUCGUAAAGCUCUUUUACCAGGGAUGACUAAUGAC